ensembl:lncRNA
GAUGCACAAUGAAAUUAACAAAGACGAAACUGAACUUGCUCUUCACAUUGAUUCUGGCAUUUUACCUCACAUCAGUAAAAGCUGAAGCUUCUCAUGAUGAUGAUGAUGACGAGGUGAGGAUCCUGAUGGUGGGAAUCCGAGGUCAGUCCAGAUUCAGUGCUGCAGAUCUUCUGUCAGGAAGGAAAGACGGUGGACAGGAGGACAGAGAGAUUGUAAAGACUCCAGUAAUUACAGACGAGGCUCGUAGAAUGAUGCUGAUCACUGGACCGAACCUCUGUGAGGAGGACACAGAGACACAGACCUUCACAACAGCGCUGUUUCUCUCGUCUCCUGGACCUCACGCCGUUCUAAUGCUCCUGAAUCUGGAAGAUCAACAAUCACAACAGUGUGAUAUUGUGAAACGAGCUCAGGAGCUGCUGGGAGCAGAAGUCCUGCAGUACUGCAUUGUUCUUCUGCUGCAAAAUCACCAGGAACCUUUCACAGGAGCCUCCAGAGAAAUGAUCGACGCAUGUGGAGGAAGAUUUCUCAUCAUAAGAGACUCUGAACCUAAACCUGCUCAAAGAGCAGCUCUCGUAGCAGAAAUACACAAGUUAGUUUGGCUCAACGAUCACAGAUUUUACUCAGUAGUGACUCAAGGGUUGGAUGCAGAAGAGUCCAGUCAAAGUGUGCAUGAAGAAAAUAAGAUGCUCUCUGAAAAACAUGACAAUUCAGCAGGAACUGCACGAUGGAUUUUACUAAUUUUACUGAACACUGCUUUUAUUUUCACUAAAGUAAGACAUGAACAUUUUCAUUUUGCGGAAAUACUCUUCGUGCUUGUUAUUUUUACCGUCACUUUAAGAGAGACUCUCAAUCCAGAUGUUUCUGUUCCUUUAAAUUUGAUUGUAUCCUCAACUUUCACAGUAGCCUCUGCAUAUAAAGACUUCGCAAAUUCACGACAUGGACACCAAAUCAUAAUGUUUUUAGUCAUGAUCUUUACAUUUCCCAGUAUAGUGUUCAUAGCCGGUCUAGGACUGACUGUAGGAACAGCGGUCAGUGUACGGACGUGGUCAGAUGUGCUCAUAGCGUGCCACGCUGCUCCCGGAGUCACAUUCGGGGCUCAUUUAUACACGGUUUACUCCAUUAUACCUGAUCAAAUGCAAGCUCGUACAACUCUCAUUUUUGCACUCAAGUUAUUCCUGUUCUGUUUCGUUGGAGUGACGCUCUCGAUGGGGUUUGUGACUGUAUUUGCUCUGUUUGGAGUGAAGAUGACAAUAUUUCUGCUAAUAUUAGGAUUUACAAAAAUGUAUUUCCAUUUAAGGAGUCUUUCUCUGAAAUUGUUUAUUUUUUUCCUGCUUUUUCCAUGCUGUUGUGUAUUUAUUGGUUCUUUAAUUUCAUUUUUAUACAGUUUAUUAUUUCAUUAUAUUUUAACAGUAAUUUGAAACCGAUAAUAGUGACUAAAUCACAAGAGACACUUACAGAUUUUGGAUCAUAAGUUAAUGCUGAUAUUGAUUUUAGGGUAAUGUUAAUAUUUAAAAUGUAUGGGUAUUUUUGGCACUGUGUACUUUCAGGAAAUAAUCUCUCUUACAACCCAUCUUAUUUCUUUACUAAUGAUCAUUUAACAUCAAUACAGACAUCACAGGAAAAUCUUGAACAUUUACUGUGCAAUGUCAUUUCCACCAAAUUUCAAAUUAUAUAUUGUGUUUAUCAGCAUUUUAUUACUGGAAUAAAAUGGCUAUUUUCAUAGUUUGAAUUUUAUGUAUGUAAA